rnacentral:rRNA from 1 species
GACGAACGCUGGCGGCGUGCUUAACACAUGCAAGUCGUACGGUAAGGCCCUUUCGGGGGUACACGAGUGGCGAACGGGUGAGUAACACGUGAGUAACCUGCCCACAACUUUGGGAUAACGCUAGGAAACUGGUGCUAAUACUGGAUAUGUGCUCCUGCUGCAUGGUGGGGGUUGGAAAGCUCCGGCGGUUGUGGAUGGACUCGCGGCCUAUCAGCUUGUUGGUGGGGUAGUGGCCUACCAAGGCGGCGACGGGUAGCCGGCCUGAGAGGGUGACCGGCCACAUUGGGACUGAGAUACGGCCCAGACUCCUACGGGAGGCAGCAGUGGGGAAGAUUGCACAAUGGGCGCAAGCCUGAUGCAGCAACGCCGCGUGCGGGAUAACGGCCUUCGGGUUGUAAACCGCUUUCAGCAGGGACGAAGCUUUUUGUGACGGUACCUGCAGAAGAAGCACCGGCUAACUACGUG